rnacentral:rRNA from 1 species
UACAGAGGUCUCAAGCGUUGUUCGGAUUCAUUGGGCGUAAAGGGUGCGUAGGUGGCGCCGUAAGUGGGGGGUGAAAUCUCGGGGCUUAACUCCGAAACUGCAUUCCAUACUGCGGUGCUUGAGGACUGGAGAGGAGACUGGAAUUCAUGGUGUAGCAGUGAAAUGCGUAGAGAUCAUGAGGAAGACCAGUGGCGAAGGCGGGUCUCUGGACAGUUCCUGACGCUGAAGCACGAAGGCCAGGGGAGCAAACGGG